UACCAGCUCUCCGAGUGGUGUGGAUGUUUAUUGGGCCUAAAGCAUCCGUAGCUGGCCAAGUUAGUCCCCUGUUAAAUCCACCGAAUUAAUCGUUGGAAUGCGGGGGAUACUGCUCGGCUAGGGGACGAGAGAGGCCGACGGUAUUUUCGGGGUAGGGGUGAAAUCCUAUAAUCCCGGGAAGACCACCAGUGGCGAAGGCUGUCGGCUAGAACGUGCUCGACGGUGAGGGAUGAAAGCUGGGGGAGCGAACCGGAUUAGAUACCCGGGUAGUCCCAGCUGUAAACGAUGCAGGCUAGGUGUUUGGGCGGCCACGUGCCGCUCUAGUGCCGCAGGGAAGCUGUUAAGCCUGCCGCCUGGGGAGUACGGUCGCAAGGCUGAAACUUAAGGAAUUGGCGGGGAGCACCACAAGAGGUGAAGCUUGCGGUUU
rnacentral:rRNA from 1 species